GACGAACGCUGGCGGCGUGCUUAACACAUGCAAGUCGAACGGAAAGGCCCUGCUUUUGUGGGUGCUCGAGUGGCGAACGGGUGAGUAACACGUGAGUAACCUGCCCUUGACUUUGGGAUAACUUCAGGAAACUGGGGCUAAUACCGGAUAGGAGCUCCUGCUGCAUGGUGGGGGUUGGAAAGUUUCGGCGGUUGGAGAUGGACUCGCGGCUUAUCAGCUUGUUGGUGGGGUAGUGGCUUACCAAGGCUUUGACGGGUAGCCGGCCUGAGAGGGUGACCGGCCACAUUGGGACUGAGAUACGGCCCAGACUCCUACGGGAGGCAGCAGUGGGGAAUAUUGCACAAUGGGCGGAAGCCUGAUGCAGCAACGCCGCGUGCGGGAUGACGGCCUUCGGGUUGUAAACCGCUUUCGCCUGUGACGAAGCGUGAGUGACGGUAAUGGGUAAAGAAGCACCGGCUAACUACGUG
rnacentral:rRNA from 1 species